GAUGAACGCUGGCGGCGUGCCUAAUACAUGCAAGUCGAGCGAACGGACGAGAAGCUUGCUUCUCUGAUGUUAGCGGCGGACGGGUGAGUAACACGUGGAUAACCUACCUAUAAGACUGGGAUAACUUCGGGAAACCGGAGCUAAUACCGGAUAAUAUUUUGAACCGCAUGGUUCAAAAGUAAAAGACGGUCUUGCUGUCACUUAUAGAUGGAUCCGCGCUGCAUUAGCUAGUUGGUAAGGUAACGGCUUACCAAGGCAACGAUGCAUAGCCGACCUGAGAGGUUGAUCGGCCACACUGGAACUGAGACACGGUCCAGACUCCUACGGGAGGCAGCAGUAGGGAAUCUGCCGCAAUGGGCGAAAGCCUGACGGAGCAACGCCGCGUGAGUGAUGAAGGUCUUCGGAUCGUAAAACUCUGUUAUUAGGGAAGAACAUAUGUGUAAGUAACUGUGCACAUCUUGACGGUACCUAAUCAGAAAGCCACGGCUAACUACGU
rnacentral:rRNA from 1 species